UACGGGGGGGGCAAGCGUUGUUCGGAAUUACUGGGCGUAAAGGGUUUGUAGGUGGCCCGCUAAGUCACACGUGAAAUCCCUCAGCUUAACCGGGGAACUGCAUCUGAUACUGGAUGGCUUGAGUUCGGGAGAGGGAUGCGGAAUUCCAGGUGUAGCGGUGAAAUGCGUAGAUAUCUGGAGGAACACCGGUGGCGAAGGCGGCGUUCUGGACUGCAACUGACACUGAAAAACGAAAGCCAGGGGAGCAAACGGG
rnacentral:rRNA from 1 species